rnacentral:tRNA from 2 species
GUCAAGUUAGUUUAAUAAAAAACAUCAGCCUGUGGAUUUGAAAAUGAGAUCUGUUCUCACUUGACC